GUCUGUCAAGUCGGAUGUGAAAUCCCCGGGCUCAACCUGGGAACUGCAUUCGAAACUGGCAGGCUUGAGUCUUGUAGAGGGGGGUAGAAUUCCAGGUGUAGCGGUGAAAUGCGUAGAGAUCUGGAGGAAUACCGGUGGCGAAGGCGGCCCCCUGGACAAAGACUGACGCUCAGGUGCGAAAGCGUGGGGAGCAAACAGGAUUAGAUACCCUGGUAGUCCACGCCGUAAACGAUGUCUACUUGGAGGUUGUGCCCUUGAGGCGUGGCUUCCGGAGCUAACGCGUUAAGUAGACCGCCUGGGGAGUACGGCCGCAAGGUUAAAACUCAAAUGAAUUGACGGGGGCCCGCACAAGCGGUGGAGCAUGUGGUUUAAUUCGAUGCAACGCGAAGAACCUUACCUGGUCUUGACAUCCACAGAACUUUCCAGAGAUGGAUUGGUGCCUUCGGGAACUGUGAGACAGGUGCUGCAUGGCUGUCGUCAGCUCGUGUUGUGAAAUGUUGGGUUAAGUCCCGCAACGAGCGCAAC
rnacentral:rRNA from 1 species